AACGCACCUUGCGCUCCUUGGUAUUCCGAGGAGCAUGCCUGUUUGAGUGUCAUGAAAUUCUCAACCUCUCUGUCUUUUUCAAAGAUGGUGAGGCUUGGAUUGUGGGGGUUGCAGGCUUCUUUCUAGUCAGCUCUCCUUAAAUGCAUUAGCCAGAUUGUUGCUGGAUCAUCAUUGAUAUGAUAAUUAUCUAUAUCAUUGAAGGCUAGCUUGUAUUUCGGCUUCCAACCGUCCUUUCAAGGGACUCUUGACAUCUUUGGCCUCAAAUCAGGUAGGACUACCCGCUGAACUUAA
rnacentral:misc_RNA from 1 species